rnacentral:rRNA from 1 species
CGACGUGGAGAACCUGCCGUAUACUGGGGAUAACACUUAGAAUAGGUGCUAAUACCGCAUAAGCGCACAGCUUCGCAUGAAGCAGUGUGGAAACAAAAGCUAAAGCUUUUGGUGGUAUACGAUGGAUCCGCGUCUGAUUAGCUGGUUGGCGGGGUAAAGGCCCACCAAGGCGACGAUCAGUAGCCGGCCUGAGAGGGUGAACGGCCACAUUGGGACUGAGACACGGCCCAAACUCCUACGGAAGGCAGCAG